rnacentral:misc_RNA from 1 species
GAUGAAGAACGUAGCGAAAUGCGAUACGUAAUGUGAAUUGCAGAAUUCAGUGAAUCAUCGAAUCUUUGAACGCAUAUUGCGCUCUCUGGUAUUCCGGAGAGCAUGCUUGUUUGAGUAUCAGUAAACACCUCAACUUCCAUAUCUUUUUUGAAAUGGGAGUUGGACUUGAGUGAUCCCAACGCUUUUCCUCACCGAAAAGUGGCGGGUUACUUGAAAUGCAGGUGCAGCUGGACUUUUCUCUGAGCUAUAAGCAUAUCUAUUUAGUCUGCCUAAAAAACAGAUUAUUACCUUUGCUGCAGCUAACAUAAAGGAGAUUAGUUCUUGUGCUGACUGAUGCAGGAUUCACAAAGACAGGCUUCGGCCGACUUUGAAAACUCGAUCUCAAAUCAAGUAAGACUACCCGCUGAACUUAAGCAUAUCAAUAAGCGGAGGA